rnacentral:rRNA from 1 species
AGUGAACGCUGGCGGUAGGCCUAACACAUGCAAGUCGAACGGCAGCACAGUAAGAGCUUGCUCUUACGGGUGGCGAGUGGCGGACGGGUGAGGAAUACAUCGGAAUCUACUUUUUCGUGGGGGAUAACGUAGGGAAACUUACGCUAAUACCGCAUACGACCUACGGGUGAAAGCAGGGGAUCUUCGGACCUUGCGCGAUUGAAUGAGCCGAUGUCGGAUUAACUAGUUGGCGGGGUAAAGGCCCACCAAGGCGACGAUCCGUAGCUGGUCUGAGAGGAUGAUCAGCCACACUGGAACUGAGACACGGUCCAGACUCCUACGGGAGGCAGCAGUGGGGAAUAUUGGACAAUGGGCGCAAGCCUGAUCCAGCCAUACCGCGUGGGUGAAGAAGGCCUUCGGGUUGUAAAGCCCUUUUGUUUGGAAAGAAAAGCAGCAGGUUAAUACCCCGCUGUUCUGACGGUACCCAAAGAAUAAGCACCGGCUAACUUCGUG